GUGCUUCCUUCAGCAGCACAAAUACUAAAACUGGAAAGACACUGAGAAAAUUAGCUUUGCCCUUCUGCACAGAUGACAUGAAAGUUCACGAAGAAUUCUAUGUUUCU